UCCAAUCCAAUCGAGGAAACACAAGAACUUGGAUAUUGUAAAACCCUGAACCCUCGCGUUGCGCCGUAAAGCGUAGUCCAGUAAAAAUUUAGUUAUGGCUUCUUCUUGCAAUAGACUCAUCCAAAGAUCAUCCUUGUCGUCCAUUCGAUCAGCCAUCCGAUCCACUGCUCCAAAAUCUCCUACCACAAGAUCCGCUACCUCAGCCCCGUUCCCUGUUCACACACACUCCUCUUCCUCCCCUACUCGGCGGUUUUCUGUAUCCAGAGUUCCGUAUGAACUGGGAUGUGGGCAAUCGUUGUUGCCACUACACAGCGUAGUGGCGUCCGCAAGGAUGACGUCAUGUCUGAGUACAACAUCGAAGGGCUGUCGAUCACUUUUACAGGGUACACUCUGCUGCACCUCUCCCGGCCUCUAGUACUUGCUUUUUGUCUUUUUGACUAUGGAAUUGAUGGUACGUGAGACUUGUGCUGUUUUUGGAGGCCAUCUGUGCAAUCCUUUGGCAGCAAGUUGUAUGAUCGCUUAAGGAAAUUGGACUAAUUGUAGUAAUUUAUAACAAUUGAAUCAGUUGAAAUUACAUUAUGAAAAGUCAGGUUUGUCAGUUCCAAGGUGACUCAUUGGCGGAUAUCACCAUGAGGGUUAUCUUCCGCUGAUUGGAGAGGCUGCAUGCUUGUAGCUUUUCAUAUGAAAAGGCUUCGGUACUUUAUGAAUACUGCUUGAACCUUAAAUUGAUUCUAAUAUUUUUCUUAGUGGAGAGAAGAUAUUGUUUCUCACAAAUAAGAAUUAUACCUCAUUGUAUACAAUAUUAUUCAUGAAUGUUCAAUUGGCUGAAGGUUGGCAAAUUUUCUUAUCCAA